GACCAGCCACUGCCGGAGCACCUGCUGUCCUCGGAUGCAGUUUCAAUUCCCCCUGGUUCUAGCAGGACCUGGGGCACAUGCAGGGCGGACAAAACACUUUUUCCUGCACCUCCCUCCGCACCAGUUACAAGCCCCGUGCCUGCCAGUGGUUCAGGCCCAGAGCUCUUCGUCAUCCCCAGCUGGGCAGGGGCCCAGGCGAGGCUCAGUGACAGAUGCCUGCCUGCUGCUGGGAAGGACAUGGCUUCCUCAGUGCCCCCAGGAUGUCAGCUCGACUCUCUGGAUCUUCGCUUUGCCCCAAGGGCGUGGUGGAAAUGUGUCUAGUCCUGAGAGGGGGAGCCCAGCCCCGAGAGGGGUGCUCUGAUCCCAGGAAGCAGUGUCUGGCCCAGAGUAAAGGAUCCAGAAGCAUCCAGGGCCACACCCUGCACGUCGCUUGGCUGAGGGCCCCUCCUUGUGUCCUCAGAGCUGGAGGGGUGGUGUCCUCUCUCUCCUGUAAGGAUGUUGUGAUGACAUUUAGGGCUUUGAUAAUAAUCCAGGAGAGCCUCCCCAUCUUGUGACCUUAACUAAAUUCAUCUGCACAGA